rnacentral:rRNA from 1 species
ACAGGUGCUGCAUGGCUGUCGUCAGCUCGUGUUGUGAAAUGUUGGGUUAAGUCCCGCAACGAGCGCAACCCUUAUCCUUUGUUGCCAGCGGUUAGGCCGGGAACUCAAAGGAGACUGCCAGUGAUAAACUGGAGGAAGGUGGGGAUGACGUCAAGUCAUCAUGGCCCUUACGACCAGGGCUACACACGUGCUACAAUGGCGCAUACAAAGAGAAGCGACCUCGCGAGAGCAAGCGGACCUCAUAAAGUGCGUCGUAGUCCGGAUUGGAGUCUGCAACUCGACUCCAUGAAGUCGGAAUCGCUAGUAAUCGUGGAUCAGAAUGCCACGGUGAAUACGUUCCCGGGCCUUGUACACACCGCCCGUCACACCAUGGGAGUGGGUUGCAAAAGAAGUAGGUAGCUUAACCUUCGGGAGGGCGCUUACCACUUUGUGAUUCAUGACUGGGGUGAAGUCGUAACAAGGUAACCGUAGGGGAACCUGCGGUUGGAUCACCUCCUUA